AUUGAACGCUGGCGGCAUGCCUUACACAUGCAAGUCGAACGGUAACAGGUUAAGCUGACGAGUGGCGAACGGGUGAGUAAUACAUCGGAACGUGCCCGAUCGUGGGGGAUAACGGAGCGAAAGCUUUGCUAAUACCGCAUACGAUCUACGGAUGAAAGCAGGGGACCGCAAGGCCUUGCGCGGACGGAGCGGCCGAUGGCAGAUUAGGUAGUUGGUGGGAUAAAAGCUUACCAAGCCGACGAUCUGUAGCUGGUCUGA
rnacentral:rRNA from 1 species